CCUCGAGCCGCCUACGGAGCUGAUCUGCUUGUACUUCCGGUAAGCCAGCUCCGACUCGUGGCGCUCGUGUUUCCGCUUGUGGGAGUACAGUUGGCCGGCGGAGUGCAGCACGUAGCUGCAGUGCGGCCGGAUGCAGUGGAUGUGAUUGCAGACCCGGGAGAAACGGCACUGCUCGAACGAGCACGCCUCAGACUUCAUGAACUUCUUGAAGCCGUCGCGCGAGAGCUGCUCGUCCUUGAUGUGGUACGAUUUGUGCUUGUCUGGAAGAAGGAGGAUCUGAUCAGCGAUGCUAGCGAGAUUGUGUCAAGGUUAUGUCAAGGUUUUGUUAAGAUUAUGUCAAGAUUUUGUCAAGAUUAUGUCAAGGUUCGAUCGAACGACUGGCACGAGCGUCACGGGGAGUUUAAGGUACACACAGAAAGGUGAAGCAGAACCCGACGGUAGCAAGAGAAGAAGACAACAUCUCGCGCAUAAAAAGGCGUAGAAACGAUCCGCCGUCCGAGGAAUCGAAUAAGGAGCAGAACAAGAUCGUUCUUACCCAUGUCAGCCUUGUUCUUGAACGUGAACCUGCAUCCGGGUCUGCGACAAUGGAAAUGCGUGGUCCUCUGGCCGACGAAGGUGCAGUGUUCGGUGGCGCAGCUCUCGGUAGCUCGAAAUCUCUGGAAGCCCUCUUGUAUGAUGGCCGAGUCCUUGCGAUGGUAAUUAGCGUGCAUCUGCACGUCGGACGUGGAUAUGUAAACCUUGUCGCAGUUCUCGUGGAUGCAGUGGUAGUGGGUCUGUUUGCGAUUGUGCGGACACGCACGGCCCGGAUGCCUCUCCGAGCAGUCGUCGGUCGGCGAGUACCUCAUGAAACCGUGCUGCAAAGAUUCGUCCCUCUUUUUGUGCCACUUGAAAUGCCUGAUCAUCUCCUCCUUUUUCACAAACACCCUACCACUGCAGUCCAGACAGUGAAAAUGCUCUCGGCAGCCCAGCUCCUUGCAGUAGGAACUGCCGCACUCUUGGCCGGACGUGUACCGCCUCACGUAACGAGAGUAAUCGAUUAUGGGUUGGGACACCGAGCUUUUCGAGCUACCGAUCAGCGUGUCCGCGACCGGAGACAUGCUUUGUCUCAGCAGAGCUGAAAUCAGAAAAUUACGGAUUUUUAAACGUUCGAGCGUUUUGAAUUCGUCGCGCCGCGCCGUGUCGUCUCGAACAGGUUUCUAUGUGGUCGAUCGAAGGUGCAAGGGGAGACAGGGUACCUUCGAGCGCGAAGGUAGAUUCUCUGUCUCGUCGGAAUGCAGCUGGCAAAGUAGAAACGCAUUGCUAUGGAAGGUUACAAAGUUAUCGGCCCAGCUGCACCAGCUGUUUUAUCU